UAUCUCACCCGUUUAGAAGAGUUGACUUCAUGUUAACCCAAUUAAAUAUUUUAAGCAGUGACUAUAUUAUAUUUCUCUUCUAGCACACCCGUCCCUUAGAUUGAGAACUUCACUGCACUGAGUGCUUUGCUGGUACAGAGAGCAGCUGCCCCACUCCAGGAGUGCACUGAGGCUGCCUUUCUGACUUCUGUUUGGCCUGGGGGUUGUCCUGUCAUGGAAGCUGGAAGUAGACAUUGCUUGUGCCAUCAACAACUCACCUGUGACAAUGGACCUCAUCUUUAAGAGAAUGGACCUGAUGGAGAGGAUGUGUUGUGCUUGUUUCUUCAGUCUUCACCCUGUAGACUUUCUGAGGCUGAACAGCAAGUUGACAAAAAAAUAUAUGCUGAAAGUUGUGAUACUUCAAAGGACAUAUAAUCUGCUGUGCUUUUCAAAACCCCAAAAUAGGUAAGAUGAAAUCAAAUUUUAUACUAGAUUGUGUUUUGCCAGUCAGGCACCAUUAUAAUUUGACAGGCAUGAUGUGAUGCAAUGAAAUGUGAAUGACAUAACCUAGCGUGACAUAACUGAUAGGCCAACAUAGAAAUUUAAUAAACAUUUCCAAUAAGUUUGCUAUACUCUGCCU
rnacentral:lncRNA from 1 species